CUGGAUGAAAAAUGGGGCAGAAUACAGUAUAAGCGGCCUGACAGAAAAGCAAGGCUGGUGUGUGUCCGACUGCUCUCUGGUUUGGGGAUCAAAGGUUAAGGGCUUCUGCAAUGCCUGGAUUAAAUUUUGACAGGUGAUGGAAACUGAAGGUUUAGCCAUCUAUUCUCAUUCCACGACCAUUAUUGGAGACCAUUAAGAAAAUGUUCUUGCUUUUGACUUGCUGCCUUACUUUCAACUUCUGGUUUGGCUGCUAUAGAAACAGACUUCUGGGCAAAUGAGCCUUUUUAUUUGAUCCAACACAGCUCUUCUUAUGCUCAUAUGUUUUUCAUCAGAUAGAAUCCAGAAUUUUAUCACCACAAUCUACCAUCUGACUCUGCAUAAUGUGUAGAUAGACUUCCAAGCAUUCUUUCUUU